ACUGACAUGAGACAGAUUAGAAGGAGAAGAAACUCAAAGUUUAAUUACAUAGCUACACAGAAGCUAUACACACGGAUUCCAAAGACGGAGAAUGAAGUCUGUAUGUCAUCCUGAACCAGGGAGAAGAGGGCAGGGAAGCGAUUCCCAGGAAUAUGAGAGAGUAAAUGUUCGAAAAGAGUGUUUUCCCAAUCAUUCCAUGCUGGUGUACCCAGGAGCACCCAAAUGGAGGAGGAUUCAUACAAAAAUGGAAACACUGCUGCUAAGGCAUGGCUACUGCUGAUGUAAAAAGAACUAAACCAUCUCCCCACCAGCCUCCCAUCCCAUUUCGUCUUUGCCUGGUGGGACCAACACUGGGGAGAAUCACCGGAGACGCUUCCCUUGAAGACUGUGCACUCCUCUGACCCGGCCCGUGGGGGCCGGCUCUCCCUAUGGGAGGCGGAUCUGCCCCCUCAGCUGGAGCUGGGGCACCAUGCCCACCCUCUGAGUCCCAGGCCCCAGGAGUCUCAGUGUGGAACGGAGGUCACGUGGAUCUACUGGAGAUCACAUGCCAGGUGGAGAGACAGCAUCAUUCUGUGGUUUAGGGGCACCAGGAAGUGAAUCAUCCCCACAGAAUGGGUAAUGAAUGACUCCAUUUUAUAGAUGGAAGAAAAACAUAUCAGCAAAUCAGCCACCUUCCCUCCCACAUCCAGGGGCUUCUCCUAGACUAAAGUUAGGUGAUUGGUGGGCUGGGUUCCAUGGAGCUGUAGACAAGCAAUAAUUACCCAUUAUCAGCAUCCAAAAAGAGCUGCUUCCCCUCAUUCUGGUACCCCACUGGGGGCUGCUCCGGCACCCAGGUGUCCUCUCCUGGGUCUCCCAAGGGCUGGGCACAGGCGGUGUUUGACUCCUGCCUCCCAGGGACAGCACAUGGAGGGAACAGGGAGUUGUCCUGAGGCUUGGGGAGACAUAGUUUAAGAAGCACAUUUAUUUAGCAUUGUGAAUAUGAACUUAGAUUUGGAAGAUGCUACUAAAAACAUUUUUAAAAAGCAUUAAUUGCAGAAAAUUAAGCUCAUCAGAGUCUUUCUGUGCUCCAGUCCCGUGUCGCUCUGUGCAUUCUCCCAGGGACAGCCACAGCCAGAAUGAGCUGUUUAUAAGAAUGCGUUCUUCUAUUCCCCUGAAAAAGGAUUGGCAGGGAAAGCAGUUCUCCUCUUUGCUCCCUGGUAUUGUAUCUGUAUCUCAGAAUUCCUGCCAAAGCCCACCCUCUAAGGCAUUGCAUUAUUUUAGAAUCAACUGAAUUUCAACCAGAAAGUGAGUGUGAACAUUACAAAAUGGAAGCCCCUCUUCACUCCUCAGAGCCAGCGUGGAGGUGAUAUGGGCCAGGGCAGACUUCGGGGAGGAAAAGGGCGUGUUUCUGAUGGCUUGCUGGCUGUGUGACUUCUAGUAACAAUGCCACCCAAGAGGGAUCAGUUCUCUCACUGCUAAAACAUAGGACAUGUUGAUCUUAGAUGUCCCUUCCAACUUAGAAUAUUGUCAAUUCCAAGGGUGGAUAUUAAACAAUGUAACUGCAGGAGAGUUAUACCUAAUAGUGUGUGUGUGUGUGUGUGUGUGUGUGCGUGCACAGGGAGGAUUUAAAGUCAGCUGAUUUUACAAUCUUGGAAUGGGGAAGGCUUUUUAAAAUACAACCCCAAUCCCAGAAACAUGAAAGAAAAGAUUCAUAAAUUCAUCUACA